rnacentral:lncRNA from 1 species
ACCUGCGAGCAGGCCCAGCUCUUGGCCAACCUGGCGCGGCUCAUCCAGGCCAAGAAGGCGCUGGACCUGGGCACCUUCACGGGCUACUCCGCCCUGGCCCUGGCCCUGGCGCUGCCCGCGGACGGGCGCGUGGUGACCUGCGAGGUGGACGCGCAGCCCCCGGAGCUGGGACGGCCCCUGUGGAGGCAGGCCGAGGCGGAGCACAAGAUCGACCUCCGGCUGAAGCCCGCCUUGGAGACCCUGGACGAGCUGCUGGCGGCGGGCGAGGCCGGCACCUUCGACGUGGCCGUGGUGGAUGCGGACAAGGAGAACUGCUCCGCCUACUACGAGCGCUGCCUGCAGCUGCUGCGACCCGGAGGCAUCCUCGCCGUCCUCAGAGUAAGGGAUCCACUGCGGGGGAGGAGAAAGCACCCUGUCGGGCCGGGUCCCCAUCUUUUCCCUUGACUCCUCUUAUACCCCAAAGCCCCACCCAGUCCAGUCACGUAGGCUACACCCCCUCCGGGGCUCCGGCCCCGGUACCCAGGCUUUCCUCCGCUUUGGUUCUGUCUCCAGCUCUGGUCAC